rnacentral:rRNA from 1 species
AUUGAACGCUGGCGGCAGGCCUAACACAUGCAAGUCGAGCGGAUGAAGGGAGCUUGCUCCUGGAUUCAGCGGCGGACAGGUGAGUAAUGCCUAGGAAUCUGCCUGGUAGUGGGGGAUAACGUCCGGAAACGGGCGCUAAUACCGCAUACGUCCUGAGGGAGAAAGCGGGGGAUCUUCGGACCUCACGCUAUCAGAUGAGCCUAGGUCGGAUUAGCUAGUUGGUGGGGUAAAGGCCUACCAAGGCGACGAUCCGUAACUGGUCUGAGAGGAUGAUCAGUCACACUGGAACUGAGACACGGUCCAGACUCCUACGGGAGGCAGCAGUGGGGAAUAUUGGACAAUGGGCGAAAGCCUGAUCCAGCCAUGCCGCGUGUGUGAAGAAGGUCUUCGGAUUGUAAAGCACUUUAAGUUGGGAGGAAGGGCAGUAAGUUAAUACCUUGCUGUUUUGACGUUGCCAACAGAAUAAGCACCGGCUAACUUCGUG